AUGUACAACGAACAACUGAAGGCAAAAAUAACAUUUGACCCAUUGAUUAAAAAAAUAAUUUAAGCACUUUUGAAAUUAUUAAGUCUAGAAAGCUGAGAGUUGAGGUGAUCGCUUAUGUUACUAGUUUCAUGAGUAUAUGGAUGUUUGGUCCCAUGUUUUGUAAUUUAUUAGAUCUUGAAAGCUAUAUGAAGGUUGUUUCUGAAUUGAAAACUUUAAAUGUUCUUAAUAAUACAUCUUGAUCUGUCAGUUAUUCAUAUAACUAUGGUUACAAUUUGCAUGAUUAUUGGGAUUUUUGGACCUAUGUUUUCUAAAUUGUAAUCUGA
rnacentral:lncRNA from 1 species